rnacentral:rRNA from 1 species
GACGAACGCUGGCGGCGUGCUUAACACAUGCAAGUCGAACGGAAAGGCCCUGCUUUUGUGGGGUGCUCGAGUGGCGAACGGGUGAGUAACACGUGAGUAACCUGCCCUUGACUUUGGGAUAACUUCAGGAAACUGGGGCUAAUACCGGAUAGGAGCUCCUGCUGCAUGGUGGGGGUUGGAAAGUUUCGGCGGUUGGGGAUGGACUCGCGGCUUAUCAGCUUGUUGGUGGGGUAGUGGCUUACCAAGGCUUUGACGGGUAGCCGGCCUGAGAGGGUGACCGGCCACAUGGGGACUGGGAUACGGCCCAGACUCCUACGGGAGGCAGCAGGGGGGAAUAUGGCACAAGGGGCGGAAGCCUGAUGCAGCAACGCCGGGUGGGGGAUGACGGCCUUCGGGUUGUAAACCGCUUUCGCCGGUGACGAAGCGUGAGUGACGGUAAUGGGUAAGAAGCACCGGCUAACUACGUG